GGGAAGUUCCAAGAACAUUUCUAAUGGGAGCUGCUGACAGAGAUAUAGGAGACACAGAGCUGGAGUGGAUCUCCUGUUGAAGAACAUCUCCAAGGCGCUAUGAACCAUCUGACUAGGCAGUUCGUGAAGACAGA